GAACGCUGGCGGCGUGCUUAACACAUGCAAGUCGAACGAGAACGGAACUAUACUUGUAUAGUUUGUCAGCUAAGUGGCGCACGGGUGAGUAAUACAUUGAUACAUGCCCUUAAGUCUGGGAUAACAGUUGGAAACGACUGCUAAUACCGGAUAUACCCUACGGGGGAAAGUUUUUUCGCUUAAGGAUUGGUCAAUGCAGUAUCAGAUAGUUGGUGGGGUAAAGGCCUACCAAGUCAAUGACGCUUAACUGGUUUGAGAGGAUGAUCAGUCACACUGGAACUGAGACACGGUCCAGACUCCUACGGGAGGCAGCAGUGGGGAAUAUUGCACAAUGGGCGAAAGCCUGAUGCAGCAACGCCGCGUGGAGGAUGACACUUUUCGGAGCGUAAACUCCUUUUAUAUGAGAAGAUUAUGACGGUAUCAUAUGAAUAAGCACCGGCUAACUCCGUGCCAGCAGCCGCGGUAAUACGGGGGGUGCAAGCGUUACUCGGAAUCACUGGGCGUAAAGGGUGCGUAGGUGGUCUAAUAAGUCAGAUGUGAAAUCUUACAGCUUAACUGUAAAACUGCAUUUGAAACUGUUAGACUAGAGUUCUACAGAGGCAGAUGGAAUUAGUAGUGUAGGGGUAAAAUCCGUAGAGAUUACUAGGAAUACCGAUUGCGAAGGCGAUCUGCUGGGGAGAUACUGACACUGAGGCACGAAAGCGUGGGGAGCAAACAGGAUUAGAUACCCUGGUAGUCCACGCCCUAAACGAUGAACACUAGUUAUUGUG
rnacentral:rRNA from 1 species